rnacentral:rRNA from 1 species
AUGACCCGCAAGACCAACGACGCCCGAACGAGUGCUCCCGACCGAGACAGUUAUGCUGCUACGUUUUGGACACGCCAAAUCCCUCGAGGCAGAUGCGUCAAGACCGCCCCGGCUUUUGUAAAGUUCCACGACACCGGGAGUCCUCGAAUCCGUCAAGUUCCACUACGAGAUGUACAACCACCGUCGACCCCAAAGACCUCGGAUUCACCAAGUUCCCACGAUGACUUGAGUGUACCCCGUCGGAUCGCCAAGUUCGGUUACCGUCGCAACCAUGUACAACUACUUCCAUGA